UGGGGAAUAUUGGACAAUGGGCGGAAGCCUGAUCCAGCAACGCCGCGUGAGGGAUGACGGCCUUCGGGUUGUAAACCUCUUUCAGUACCGACGAAGCGAAAGUGACGGUAGGUACAGAAGAAGGACCGGCCAACUACGUGCCAGCAGCCGCGGUAAUACGUAGGGUCCGAGCGUUGUCCGGAAUUAUUGGGCGUAAAGGGCUCGUAGGCGGUUUGUCGCGUCGGGAGUGAAAACAGCGGGCUUAACUCGUUGCUUGCUUUCGAUACGGGCAGACUAGAGGUAUGCAGGGGAGAAUGGAAUUCCUGGUGUAGCGGUGAAAUGCGCAGAUAUCAGGAGGAACACCGGUGGCGAAGGCGGUUCUCUGGGCAUUACCUGACGCUGAGGAGCGAAAGUGUGGGGAGCGAACAGGAUUAGAUACCCUGGUAGUCCACACCGUAAACGUUGGGCGCUAGGUGUGGGGUCCUUUCCACGGAUUCCGUGCCGUAGCUAACGCAUUAAGCGCCCCGCCUGGGGGAGUACGGCCGCAA
rnacentral:rRNA from 1 species